rnacentral:rRNA from 1 species
UGCAGUCGAGCGAACAAUCGAGAUGAAGUUUUCGGAUGGAUUCCUGAUUGACUGAGCGGCGGACGGGUGAGUAACGCGUGGGUAACCUGCCUCAUACAGGGGGAUAACAGUUAGAAAUGACUGCUAAUACCGCAUAAGCACACAGUACCACAUGGUACGGUGUGAAAAACUCCGGUGGUAUGAGAUGGACCCGCGUCUGAUUAGCUAGUUGGUGGGGUAACGGCCCACCAAGGCGACGAUCAGUAGCCGACCUGAGAGGGUGACCGGCCACAUUGGGACUGAGACACGGCCCAAACUCCUACGGGAGGCAGCAGUGGGGAAUAUUGCACAAUGGGGGAAACCCUGAUGCAGCAACGCCGCGUGAGUGAAGAAGUAUUUCGGUAUGUAAAGCUCUAUCAGCAGGGAAGAAAAUGACGGUACCUGACUAAGAAGCCCCGGCUAACUACGUGCCAGCAGCCGCGGUAAUACGUAGGGGGCAAGCGUUAUCCGGAUUUACUGGGUGUAAAGGGAGCGUAGACGGCAGCGCAAGUCUGAAGUGAAAGCCCGGGGCUCAACCCCGGAAUGGCUUUGGAAACUGUGCAGCUAGAGUACCGGAGGGGUAAGCGGAAUUCCUAGUGUAGCGGUGAAAUGCGUAGAUAUUAGGAGGAACACCAGUGGCGAAGGCGGCUUACUGGACGGUAACUGACGUUGAGGCUCGAAAGCGUGGGGAGCAAACAGGAUUAGAUACCCUGGUAGUCCACGCGGUAAACGAUGAAUGCUAGGUGUUGGUGAGCAAAGCUCAUCGGUGCCGCCGCAAACGCAUUAAGCA